rnacentral:lncRNA from 1 species
GAUAAUUAAGCCCUUCCAAUUCUGAAUCAAAAGACACCCGAUCGGUUUUCUCUUAUAUGUGGGUUGUCUAUUACGUUGCUUAUCUAUUCUAGCCUUCUUCUCAGUUUUCUGUAGUGCUCAAUGCUCGUCUAUUAACUGCUCCAAUACUUGAAACUUCAUGAAGCCGCGGGUUGUUACUUAAUGACAUGUUACCCUAUUAACAGAAUUUGCAUUAUAGUGAACAUAGUGGAAACAAGGAAAUAGGAUCUCCAUAAUUUGGUUCUGUGGUUUGCUAUAAAAUCUGAGCCUGAGAGGCUUUGGAUUAUUCCUUACUCCGGUUCGGAGUAGGACAAUCCCAGGUUCGAUUCCCUCCAAUGUAACAGAAAAAUGUAAAAUUGGGGCACCAAAUUUUCGAUGCUACAAGGAUUCUGGCACUGUGGCCACAUUUCCUGCAGAGUUUAGCAGACGCAGAUUUUGACUUCGGGCUGGUGGCUGAAUUUUGGUCUGAAUCCUCCUUUUAUGUCAUUUGUAGAAAAGAAAUUAGUGAAUUUUUAUUCAUCUAUUUGAUUGAAAAUGUUUUUUUUUUAUAAUGAAAUUAGUCAGCGCACUUAACAGGCUAAACUGUGGUGGGCAUACCUCAAACGUCAUUUAUUUUAUUUUUUUUCCCUUUAUUUUUUCGUGUAAGAUUCAUUGGAAAGAUAUUCAUCGAAAUGUGUCCAGUCCAGACACCCAGUUUUAAACUGGGUGUUGACUAUCUUUCCAAUGAUGACAUUUCGAUGAGUAUAGAGGCAAAAAAAAAAAAAAAACUGGGUUUUUUUUUGGUGCCAGACACCCAGUUUUUUCGCCUUUAUACUCAUCGAAAUUCUAUUUUUCACCCAUAAAAAGCCCAGUUUAAAACAUAAAUACGAACUAGGUUAUUUUGUCCAGAACAGAACAUAUACUCAGAUUUCAUCAACAUCCAUCUCAUUCUUUGGCAUUCAGUUCUAAUCAGCUUUAAACACCAAAACAGUCCCAAAUUUAAGAUAAAACAAACUUAUAAUUAUCCAACACACCCAACUACCAAGGCCACAAACUUGAAAGUAGAUUCUUCACCUACUGUAUUUGCAUGUCAUCAAAUAACAUCCGAAAUCACUUAUACAAUCUCACUUCAAUCAAUGUACACUGUACUAAAAUUCCAGCAGCAAGUAUGGCAAACAAAUCCUACCUUAACAGCUCCAAAGUAAUCCUCAACCUUCAAUGAGCUGCCUAGUAGUCACUAACUCAGAAAGAGAAAAUUUUCGAAACUUAACCAAAUCCAAGAAUGGUUUACCUUAUCUUGUAGAGCUCGUUCAUACGAUCCUAAAGGCGAAAGCAGCGCAAGAAUUGGAGUUGUAGAAUGAAAGUUAUGGUAGAAAGAAGUUUGAAGGAGAAAGAAGGGAGAGAAUGGGUUUGUGGAAAGAGAGUCGUGAAGUAGGAGCUGAACUGGAACCUCA